AUUGAACGCUGGCGGCAUGCCUUACACAUGCAAGUCGAACGGCAGCACGGGAGCAAUCCUGGUGGCGAGUGGCGAACGGGUGAGUAAUGUAUCGGAACGUGCCCAGUCGUGGGGGAUAACGUAGCGAAAGCUACGCUAAUACCGCAUACGCUCUAUGGAUGAAAGCGGGGGAUCGCAAGACCUCGCGCGAUUCGAGCGGCCGAUAUCAGAUUAGGUAGUUGGUGGGGUAAAGGCUCACCAAGCCGACGAUCUGUAGCUGGUCUGAGAGGACGACCAGCCACACUGGGACUGAGACACGGCCCAGACUCCUACGGGAGGCAGCAGUGGGGAAUUUUGGACAAUGGGCGCAAGCCUGAUCCAGCAAUGCCGCGUGCAGGAUGAAGGCCUUCGGGUUGUAAACUGCUUUUGUACGGAACGAAACGGCGAGCUCUAAUACAGUUUGCUAAUGACGGUACCGUAAGAAUAAGCACCGGCUAACUACGUGCCAGCAGCCGCCGCGG
rnacentral:rRNA from 1 species